AGUCUCAGGCUCAGAGCUCAGCCCUACACAUCUCCUCUUGCAUGCAACUCACUGAGAGGGAGAGACAGCGUGUCCUCCCCUCUCGCAGCCGCUGGCAUCUGGAGCCACCAGGGACCUGCUUUUCGCACCUCCAAUACCCCCUCCCUUCUUCCCCGCCACUCCCUCCCAGAGAAAGAGAGAGAAAAAAAAGAAAAGGAGAAAGAUUCUGGAAUUUGAACCUUCCCAAAGAGGAAACACCCAGAAAACUCAGUUGAUUAAACAUCAAACAAACAGACAGAUCCCAACUCUUCUGUUCAACUGGAAAGGUCUUUUCUCCGGAGUCCUGGGAGGUGGGUUAUGGGCAGGCCUGCCCCUGGCUGGCACCAUGUCGCCUGAGUCUGCUUGCGCCCUGCGCUGGGCCCGGCUCUGCCUGAGCACUCAGCUUCUCUCUGCUUCCCUUCCUGCGGCCCGCCACUGCUGAGGAGGUAGACCCUCAGGACUGCCCUUGGCAUUUCUACCUUUCGCCCAGCUCACCUUGCUGCCUGCUCCUCCUCCAUCACGGCACCGCUGACCUCAGCCCUGUCCCCGGCCUCCCUGGCUGGGGCUUUCGGGGGUCCAUUGGGAGGAUCUCGUUGCUGAAGGCUUCCUCCUGCACGGCGCCUUCUCCUCCUCAAAUCAAGGCCUCCGGAUCCACAUGGAUAGCUGAGAUCUUGUCUUGGAGAAAGACACUCGUCCUCACCUUCCCACCCAGUGCCAUUCUCUCCUGUCUAUUUUCCUGCCUCUUUACUGGAUUUCUUGCUCGUGCCCAUCUGGGACCGUCUUGUUCUCUUUCCUCCUGCUUCUCCCUCUUGAUAUUUGUGUGUGUGCCUCCUUCCUCCUGUGUGUUCUCUCUUCCCACUCUGUCUUGUCUGCCUCUCUCCCUUCCACCACCAAAGGGAGAUCCUUCCCCUGUUCCUGGCCUGUGCUCCUCGGGGGCUCUGUGCCCGCAGCCAGGAUGAGCUUCACUCUCCACUCAGUUUUCUUCACCCUCAAGGCCAGCAUCCUGCUGGGGUCCCUGCUGGGGCUCUGCUUGGGCCUGGAGUUCAUGGGCCUCCCCAACCAGUGGGCCCGCUACCUCCGCUGGGACGCCAGCACGCGCAGUGAUCUGAGCUUCCAGUUCAAGACCAACGUCUCCACGGGGCUGCUCCUCUACCUGGACGAUGGUGGCGUCUGUGACUUCCUCUGCCUCUCCCUGGUGGAUGGCCGCGUUCAGCUCCGCUUUAGCAUGGACUGCGCUGAGACUGCCGUGCUGUCCAACAAGCAGGUGAACGACAGCAGCUGGCACUUCCUCAUGGUGAGCCGCGAUCGCCUGCGCACCGUGCUGGUGCUGGAUGGCGAGGGCCAGUCUGGGGAGCUGCAGCCCCAGCGGCCGUACAUGGAUGUGGUCAGUGACUUGUUCCUUGGUGGAGUCCCCGCUGACAUUCGGCCUUCUGCCCUGACCCUUGAUGGAGUACAGGCCAUGCCCGGCUUCAAGGGAUUAAUCAUGGAUCUCAAAUAUGGCAACUCGGAGCCUCGGCUUCUGGGGAGCCAGGGUGUCCAGAUGGAAGCCGAGGGACCCUGUGGUGAGCGUCCCUGUGAAAAUGGAGGGAUCUGCUUCCUCCUGGACGGCCACCCCACCUGUGACUGUUCUACCACUGGCUAUGGUGGCACGCUGUGCUCAGAAGAUGUCAGUCAAGGUCCAGGCCUCUCCCACCUCAUGAUGAGUGAACAAGGUAGAAGUAAAGCCCGAGAGGAGAAUGUGGCCACUUUCCGAGGCUCAGAAUACCUGUGCUAUGACCUGUCUCAGAACCCGAUCCAGAGCAGCAGUGAUGAAAUCACCCUCUCCUUCAAGACCUGGCAGCGCAACGGGCUCAUCCUGCACACGGGCAAGUCGGCUGACUAUGUCAACCUGGCUCUGAAGGAUGGUGCGGUCUCCUUGGUCAUUAACCUGGGGUCCGGGGCCUUUGAGGCCAUUGUGGAGCCAGUGAAUGGGAAGUUCAACGACAACGCCUGGCAUGAUGUCAAAGUGACACGCAACCUCCGGCAGGUGACAAUCUCUGUGGAUGGCAUUCUUACCACGACGGGCUAUACGCAGGAAGACUACACUAUGCUGGGCUCAGAUGAUUUCUUCUACGUGGGAGGAAGCCCAAGUACCGCUGACUUGCCGGGCUCACCUGUGAGCAACAACUUCAUGGGCUGCCUUAAGGAGGUUGUUUAUAAGAAUAAUGACAUCCGUCUGGAGCUGUCUCGUCUGGCACGGAUUGGGGACACAAAAAUGAAAAUCUAUGGUGAAGUUGUGUUCAAGUGUGAGAAUGUGGCCACACUGGACCCCAUCAACUUUGAGACCCCAGAGGCUUACAUCAGCUUGCCCAAGUGGAACACCAAACGAAUGGGCUCUAUCUCCUUUGACUUCCGCACCACUGAGCCCAACGGCCUGAUCCUCUUCACUCAUGGGAAGCCCCAAGAGAGGAAGGAUGCUCGGAGCCAAAAGAACACAAAAGUUGACUUCUUUGCUGUGGAACUUCUUGAUGGCAACCUGUACUUGCUGCUCGAUAUGGGCUCAGGCACCAUCAAAGUGAAAGCCACCCAGAAGAAAGCCAAUGACGGGGAAUGGUACCAUGUGGAUAUUCAGCGCGAUGGCAGAUCAGGUACCAUAUCAGUGAACAGCAGGCGCACGCCAUUCACCGCCAGUGGGGAGAGCGAGAUCCUGGACCUGGAGGGAGACAUGUACCUGGGCGGGCUGCCGGAGAACCGUGCUGGCCUCAUCCUCCCCACGGAGCUCUGGACCGCCAUGCUCAACUACGGCUACGUGGGCUGCAUCCGCGACCUGUUCAUCGACGGGCGCAGCAAGAACAUCCGGCAGCUGGCGGAGAUGCAGAACGCCGCGGGCGUCAAGUCCUCCUGUUCACGGAUGAGCGCCAAGCAGUGUGACAGCUACCCCUGCAAGAACAACGCUGUGUGCAAGGACGGCUGGAACCGCUUCAUCUGCGACUGCACGGGCACUGGUUACUGGGGAAGAACCUGCGAAAGGGAGGCGUCCAUCCUGAGCUACGACGGCAGCAUGUACAUGAAGAUCAUCAUGCCCAUGGUCAUGCACACUGAGGCUGAGGAUGUGUCCUUCCGCUUCAUGUCCCAGCGAGCCUACGGGCUCCUGGUGGCUACUACCUCCAGGGACUCUGCUGACACGCUGCGCCUGGAGCUCGAUGGGGGUCGAGUCAAGCUCAUGGUUAACUUAGACUGUAUCAGGAUAAACUGUAACUCCAGCAAAGGACCUGAGACCCUGUAUGCAGGGCAGAAGCUCAAUGACAACGAGUGGCACACCGUUCGGGUGGUGCGGAGAGGAAAAAGCCUAAAGUUAACCGUGGACGAUGAUGUGGCUGAGGGUACAAUGGUGGGAGACCACACUCGCUUGGAGUUCCAUAAUAUUGAAACUGGUAUCAUGACAGAGAAACGAUACAUCUCCGUCGUUCCCUCUAGUUUCAUUGGGCACCUGCAGAGCCUCAUGUUUAAUGGCUUGCUCUACAUUGACUUGUGCAAAAAUGGUGACAUUGAUUACUGUGAGCUGAAGGCUCGUUUUGGACUGAGGAACAUCAUCGCUGACCCCGUCACCUUUAAGACCAAGAGCAGCUACCUGAGCCUUGCCACCCUCCAGGCCUACACCUCCAUGCACCUCUUCUUCCAGUUCAAGACCACCUCUGCUGAUGGCUUCAUUCUCUUCAACAGCGGUGAUGGCAAUGACUUCAUUGCAGUUGAGCUAGUCAAGGGGUACAUACACUACGUUUUUGAUCUCGGAAAUGGCCCCAAUGUGAUCAAAGGUAAUAGUGAUCGCCCCCUGAAUGACAACCAGUGGCACAACGUCGUCAUCACUCGGGACAACAGUAACACCCACAGCCUGAAGGUGGACACCAAGGUGGUCACACAAGUUAUCAAUGGUGCCAAAAAUCUGGAUUUGAAAGGCGACCUCUACAUGGCUGGCCUGGCCCAAGGCAUGUACAGCAACCUCCCGAAGCUUGUGGCCUCUCGGGAUGGCUUCCAGGGCUGUCUGGCAUCUGUGGACUUGAACGGGCGGCUGCCGGAUCUCAUCAAUGAUGCCCUCCACCGGAGCGGGCAGAUCGAGCGUGGCUGUGAAGGACCCAGUACCACCUGCCAGGAAGAUUCCUGUGCCAACCAGGGGGUUUGCAUGCAGCAGUGGGAAGGCUUCACCUGCGACUGCUCCAUGACGUCCUAUUCUGGAAACCAGUGCAAUGAUCCUGGCGCUACCUACAUCUUUGGGAAAAGUGGUGGCCUCAUCCUCUACACCUGGCCGGCCAAUGACAGGCCCAGCACGCGCUCUGACCGCCUGGCAGUGGGCUUCAGCACCACGGUGAAGGAUGGCAUCUUAGUACGCAUCGACAGCGCUCCAGGUCUUGGAGACUUCCUGCAGCUUCACAUAGAACAGGGAAAAAUUGGUGUUGUUUUCAAUAUUGGCACCGUUGACAUCUCCAUCAAAGAGGAGAGGACCCCGGUCAAUGAUGGCAAAUACCACGUGGUGCGCUUCACCAGGAAUGGAGGCAAUGCCACCCUCCAGGUGGACAACUGGCCAGUGAAUGAACACUAUCCUACAGGCAACACUGAUAAUGAACGCUUCCAAAUGGUAAAACAGAAAAUCCCCUUCAAAUAUAACCGACCCGUAGAAGAGUGGCUGCAGGAAAAAGGCCGGCAGUUAACCAUCUUCAACACCCAGGCGCAAAUAGCCAUUGGCGGAAAGGAUAAAGGACGCCUCUUCCAAGGUCAACUCUCUGGGCUCUAUUAUGAUGGUUUGAAAGUACUGAAUAUGGCAGCUGAGAACAACCCUAAUAUUAAAAUCAAUGGAAGUGUCCGACUGGUGGGAGAGGUCCCAUCCAUCUUGGGAACAACACAGACGACCUCCAUGCCACCAGAAAUGUCUACCACAGUCAUGGAAACCACCACCACAAUGGCUACUACCACAACCCGCAAGAAUCGCUCCACAGCCAGCAUUCAGCCAACCUCAGAUGACCUUGUUUCAUCUGCUGAAUGUUCAAGUGAUGAUGAAGACUUCGUUGAAUGUGAGCCGAGUACAGCCAGAAGCUCUAAUGCAGCUAGAUCACUCCGUGCCGCCCUUACAUGGACAUGGCGACUCACUUACACAUUUACUCCUCUCAUCUUCAUCUCCUGUGUAGUGCACUCAUAGACACGCCCCUCCCUCUCUGCAUCUUCCCUUCCCAUAAUCCCCCUUUCUUUAGCAUUGUUAAAAUUUAUGUGCUGUCAUUCAUUCCCUUAAAUUUAAAAAAUUCUAAACUUUGUGAAAAAGACAAGAAAGUUAAAUAUAUGUCUGAAAAAUCUAUACCGAUGCAGAAAUUCAUUCAAAACCCUGUAGAUACAUAGAUUUUUUUUAAAGACAAAAUUUUUUUAAAAGAAAAUUUUUCAAUCAUAGCAAUCGGAAUUAUUUUAAAUUCAAAAUCAAUGCCCUCCCAAACCCCCAAAGUAAAAAUUCGUUUAAGUGCAGAUUUUUUUUUUCUUUUCAUGUUAUGUGGUGUGGAUGUAUGUGUUGUUACCUCCCUGUAUCAUCCUGUUGUAAAUUAUUAUAUUUGAAAAAUUAGACAUUUUGCUCAAAAGUUUUUAAGAAAUGACAACAACAACAACAACAAAAAAAAGCAAGUUACAAGAAUGUGACAAUUCUAUUUGUCCAAGAGCAUUCUUACACAACUUUCUUUUGUAAAUUUUUCUUUCAUGCCAAAAAACAUGCGGGCAAUUUGUUGAUGAGGUGAAUUAGUUAUCCCUCUUCUUGUAGAAGACCCUUUAGCUACCCCUCCUAUUGCUACUCGUGUACCUUCCAUUACACUCCCCCCUACCUUCCGCCCCCUCCUCACCAUUAUUGAGACCACCAAAGAUUCCCUGUCCAUGACCUCUGAGGCGGGGUUACCUUGCUUGUCGGACCAAGGCAGCGAUGGUUGUGAUGAUGAUGGCUUGGUGAUAUCUGGGUAUGGCUCAGGGGAAACCUUUGACUCUAACCUGCCCCCUACUGAUGAUGAAGAUUUUUACACCACCUUCUCCUUGGUAACAGAUAAGAGUCUUUCCACUUCAAUCUUCGAAGGUGGCUACAAAGCACAUGCGCCCAAGUGGGAAUCCAAGGACUUUAGACCUAACAAAGUCUCCGAAACUAGUAGGACUACUACCACAUCUUUGUCCCCUGAGCUGAUCCGCUUCACAGCUUCCUCCUCGUCUGGGAUGGUGCCCAAAUUGCCAGCUGGCAAAAUGAAUAACCGUGAUCUCAAACCCCAGCCUGAUAUAGUCUUGCUUCCGUUGCCCACUGCCUAUGAGCUAGACAGCACCAAACUGAAGAGCCCACUAAUUACUUCCCCCAUGUUCCGUAAUGUGCCCACAGCAAACCCCACGGAGCCGGGAAUCAGACGGGUUCCGGGGGCCUCAGAGGUGAUCCGGGAGUCGAGCAGUACAACAGGGAUGGUCGUCGGCAUUGUGGCUGCUGCCGCCCUCUGCAUCUUGAUCCUCCUGUACGCCAUGUACAAGUACAGGAACAGGGACGAGGGGUCCUAUCAAGUGGACGAGACGCGGAACUACAUCAGCAACUCGGCCCAGAGCAACGGCACGCUCAUGAAGGAGAAGCAACCGAGCUCGAAGAGCGGCCACAAGAAACAGAAGAACAAGGACAAAGAGUAUUACGUGUAAACACGAUGACACCGGUGAGACAUGGAUUUCCAACCGAUUUCUUUACACAUCCACAUAGGAAUACUUUGACAGUGAGACGUGACAGGUGUCAGAACUGUUCUGAGACGGGGUAUUCCAUGACCAUGGUGGGGAAAACCAUUUUUAAAAGGACACACACCGAGAGGGAUCUAUCUACCGAGUUCCCCCGAGGCUGCGAGGGUCAGCCCCCGGCUGGGAGACGGAAGGUUCUCUCCGCCCUGCUGUAUCAUAAAGCACACGCCCAGAGCCCUGCGCGCUCCGGGGGGCUCCACCACGGCCGCGGACUCGCAAGCUCCCUUCUCUCCAGGACCUUUUACGAGAGGUACAAGACUUCAUGGCUUACUUGUUCCAUAACUCCAAGUGAGUCUGUAAUGAUGUUUGUGAAGCUUGACUGUAACGAUGUUUUUUUUUUUUUUUAGUUUUAAUUUUUUAAAAUUAAAAAAAUUUAAAAAAAAAAAAAAAAAAAGGGAAAAAAAAAAAUUAAAAAAAAAAAAACUCAAAACAAAAAAGAAAUCACCCUUAUCUGGUUCUGGCCAGUGUGUGUGUAACUUUUCAAGAUCUGAGGGGAUAAAUGGCUUUUGGGUUUCUGUUUAUUUUUUGAGAAUGACUGGACAUAAGAAGAGGAAAAAAAAAACUCAGAAAACAAAAAGUACGAGAGACUAUUGCCAUAUGAACUCAAAGCUACCAUGGUGUUCACUCUACAUAUCAGGUGUGGUGUCUCUAGAAUAUGUUGUUUGUUUCCUAUAAGAUGCUUUGCUGAGUACAUAGCAAAACCCAUGUAAUGGAUGAUAACCUUAAUUUUGAAGAGCUGGUCCCCCAGGAUCUAAUUCUAGAACCAGCCACCCAAACCCUGAACAGAUGGGUUUAGGGCUGGUUUAUCAGAGCUAUUGGCUUUACUUAACAAUAUUGUUCCUGUCCAUUAACCCAAAUUGUGUUAAAGGGGAAAAAGCCCCACAAACUAAAACAGAACCUUUCCUAGAGAAGGGAAGGGGGGUGAGCUGGACCUGUAAUUGAUUGACAUGCAUGCAAAUAAAAAAACGACAAGACAAUACUGAAGUCUGUUGCAUAAUCAGAACAGACACUAUGGGAGUUCAACUUGUGAUGGAGCCACCAAAGGUCACAUGAGCCAAACAUGUCAUGACAGAGUGCAAAUAACAUAGUUCUUCCCCACCCCCCAACAUGGUAAUGGUUUCCAUAGUGGUUUAAUUUUGUAGCCUGACACGGAUAACUGUCCUUCCAUUUGCUUACUUCUCCCUUCACCCAUCUUUUUUAAAAAACAAGUAAAUAAAUGAAUAAAGCUGCUGUGACACACAAAAAAAGGAAUUUAAUAGUAUAAUAUAUAUAUAAAUAAAUAUAUAUACAGAUAUAUUUAUCAUGGUAUGUUUGAUGGGAUGACUGACACAGAAAUCUGUUAAAGUCUUGAAGUGGAAUGAGAAUGUUAUUUUAAAAGAAAAUAACAAAACAACAAAAAAGUAAACCUUAAAAUGUGAAGAAAGCGUGAGUUUUAGUUUUGUCACAGUUAACUGUGUCAAAGAGAAUUAAAAAAAAAUCUUCUCAGAUUUUGUUUACAUAUUUUACUACAUUUUUGCUGGUAUAAUUCCUUAGCCACCUAUGUACAUACUGCUUGAAGAACUGUUAUUUCCUUUCUAUUUGUUUAUUUCAGUUCGUUUGGGUUUAUAUUCCAGUUGUCUUUUUUGUUUUCUUUUUGUAAAGAGGAAACAAUGUACAGAAAAAUAAUAAACCGGUUGUGUGGCCAUAGCUAUUCAAAAGGCAAGAGACAAAGCAAGAUAAACAUUCACAUGAGACUGGAGUGUGUCCUCUGGAGGGUCAGAUAUAUACAAUUUUUUUUGUACAGAUGAAAACCAAUCAGCUGUUUAGAUUUAGAAAUCUACUCUUGCUGGUCUUUGUAAGUUGCAUGAAUAUUUGACUUUGAAACAAAUAUCUGAAAGACAUGGGGCAAAAAGCGCAAUCUAAACAAUGGUAGCCUUUACUAAUAUGUAUGGAAAGAGGUGUUCCUCCUUAUCUGAUAUUUCAAUGUGUUAAGAGUUUCUGAUUUUUUGUUGUCGUUAAAAAAAGACAGGACUAUAAAAAGAUAUCAAAGCACGAUUUUAGAUAACUUAAAUGGCCCAGCCUACAUGAAGUUGAUUAUAUCUCGGUGUCUGUAAAAGAUUGCUGUUCUUGGAGUCUUGAGAUCUUGUGAACUGAUUUCCUACUUUCUUUCUUUACAUUUUUUCUUAAAUUUGAGUAAAAACACAUUUGUUAUAUUCCUUUUAGUGUAAGUUUCUAUUUGGACAAUUUUAUGGGAACAUGUGCUUUCUGUAUGUGAGCUUUUAUCAUACUCUGUUGUUUUAUUAGCAAAUCCUAAAGGAAUUUAUUUUAUGAUGUUGUGAUGUUACUGCUUUUUCUUUUUCCUUUUCCCUUUCAUUUUAUAUUUGCAUUUUUGUUCAAGGAUAUGCUUAGCAAUAAAAUGUUCUUCCCAAAACCCUGUAUGAUGAUGCAAUUUUAUUGUCUUAAUAGUUGGGAAAAGAUCUGACCCUGCAAUUAAAUCUGUCAUAUCUUAUCAGAAACCACAUAAGGUAGGGCUACUUUCACAUGAUAUAAAAUGUCCUUAUUACUUA